rnacentral:lncRNA from 1 species
AAAGAUAAUACAACCACAUCACAUACAUAAUAACCACAAACAUUUCAUUAGUUCUACUUCAUAUCACCAAAAUGAUAUAGAAUAUUAAUUAUACAUCAACCCUUAAAUCUAGAUAUUAAAACUUAUCUCAAUCUGAAACUAAUCUCUAAACACUAAACCUUAAACCCUAAUCAUUAAACCCUAAAUUCAAAUAUAAACCAUAAACAUAAAUAUAAACCUAAAUCUAACUCCAACUUUUAAAUAUUAAACCCUAAAUGGAUCACUAAACCCAAACUCAAAUGUAAACUAUAUUAUAUAUUUAUAAUUUUAAAAUGAAAUUAAAAUCUGAAAAAUAUAUAUAAUAUUUUGUGAUAUUAAGCUAUACUAUAUAAAGAUGUAAAAUAUCAUACUAAACUCUAAACCCAACCCCUAAUUACUAAACUCUAAACCCUAGCCACUAAAUCCUAAACCCAAAUCCAAAUCUAGCCACUAAAUGCUAAACCCAAAUCCUAAAACCUAGCCACUAAAUCCUAAACCCAAACUUUAAACCCAACCCCUAAUAUUUUCAAGUACUAUACAUACAUAGUAUGAACAUUGUGUAAAAUAGUAUACAAAUGUUUAUUCUAUUUAUAUUAGUUGAGCAUCAUAUGUAAAAUAGUAAGAGAAGAAAUAAAAGUACUUGUUGAUGAAAAAGACGUUCUUGAACUAGACAUGACCCUAACAUUGUCAAACAUUUGAAUGAAACUAAUUUUAUAUUACGAGCAAUCAGAGAAAAGGACAUAGAAGAGAAAUAUCAAAUUUGAAGACAUGACAUAUAAACUCUAAACUCUAGUUUGAGAAGAAAAUUACUAAACCCUAAACCUUAAUCACUAAACCGUAAACCCAAAUAUAAACCCUAAACUCUAAACUCUACUCACUUACUUAAAUACUAAAACCCUAGACAAACCCCUAGUUACUAAAUCUAAACCCAAAUAACUAAAGUAUAAACCCAAACAAAAUAUAUAUAAUAUGUUGUCAAUUUUCUCAAUGUACACGACAUAGUAUGGAACCUCUAUAAAUAGUAUAGAAGUACUGGUACACUCCUUUUACAUUUGCCAAAUGACCAAGUUUGAGAAUGAAAUUACUAAACCGUAAACACUAAUCAACUCAAAUAUAAACCCAAAACCCUAAACUAUAAACCCAAAUCUCAAAAUCUAAUGCAAACCUCAACUUCACCACCAUUCUUCUAAAUAAUUGAAUUUUGAUUUUUAAACUAGAAUUGGUAAUAAUGAAUAUUCCAAAUAAUCAAA